UAUUAAAAAUUUCAUUUAUUUCUACUAUGAAAAAUUAGCGUAGCUGACAAAAUAAUCAGACUGUUACAUGUGGUAUGCUACGUAUACCUUAUGUUGACAUACAGAGACCAUUUUUAAACAGUAAAAAUAGAUGAAUUUUUUAACA
rfam:Gossypium raimondii Chr06_contig_270, whole genome shotgun sequence.